rnacentral:tRNA from 1 species
GCGCACUUAGCUCAGUAGUUAGAGCAUCACUCUUGAAAGUUGAGGUCACAUGUUCAAUUCAUGCGGUGCACA